GACGAACGCUGGCGGCGUGCUUAACACAUGCAAGUCGAACGGUAAGGCCCUUCGGGGUACACGAGUGGCGAACGGGUGAGUAACACGUGGGUGAUCUGCCCUGCACUUCGGGAUAAGCCUGGGAAACUGGGUCUAAUACCGGAUAGGACUCCUGGCUUCAUGGUUGGGGGUGGAAAGCUUUUGCGUGGUGGGAUGGGCCCGCGGCCUAUCAGCUUGUUGGUGGGGUAAUGGCCUACCAAGGCGACGACGGGUAGCCGGCCUGAGAGGGUGAUCGGUCACACGGGGACUGAGAUAGUGCCCAGACUCCUACGGGAGGCAGCAGUGGGGAAUAUUGCACAAUGGGCGCAAGCCUGAUGCAGCGACGCCGCGUGAGGGAUGACGGCCUUCGGGUUGUAAACCUCUUUCAGCUAUGACGAAGCGCAAGUGACGGUAGUAGCAGAAGAAGGACCGGCCAACUACGUGCCAGCCGCCGCGGUAA
rnacentral:rRNA from 1 species